CUCCUGUCGUGGAGUCCCACGAAUUCUAUGUUGGGUGAGUGACUGAUUAUAUGCAAUUACUGUGACAUCACUGAUAAAAGAAAAAUAAGGGAUCAUAGUCUAUGGUUUUAAUGUUUUUUAGAGAGCGCGGGACUUUGCGUGUUGGCGCGAAUACGUUAUAAGAGAAGAGAACACGAUAAGAGUACGAAUCGUGAGAGACACCAGGUAAUGGUUGUCUGCCUGCAUGUAAGAUGAUGUGGAGCAAGGUCGGUAAGUCCCUGAUGGCUUAGUUAAGUGAAGUGCGACAAGGCUCUUGAGAUAUCAUGUAUUAUGUUACACGUUGUACAGCAUGAGGUACAAAGUAGUGUCAUUGAAUGUAAUAAUUGUCACAGUGGUUCUGAGCAUUAAGUUACCUCUCACCAAGUUUGACGGGUGCUCUGGGAUCAGCACUAGGGUGAAGUGGACGCACUUACCCAUGAGCUAGGUGGCGUGGAUCGCAACGUCCAGCCAGCCUAGAAGCGAGUUUAGGGGUGGCCACCCAAUCUUGAGUAGGGGGACUAGCAGUACGGGCUCUUCGCCGUACAUGUUCCCCUAGUAAUCCUAUCUGGGCGAGAUUCUGAUGGAUUCGCAUGAGCAGAUAGUGGGUGGUGAGAGGCAGGGAGGUAAAGGCGGGUUGUAGGGGUGUUGAGGAGACCCGAGGGGGCCCAGCCCCAUGUACAUGAGGAGAUGCUCAGUUACUGCCUAACGGGUAAGAGGAUCCAAUGUUGCAAGCCUCACCAGUACAUGGAAGUAGCCAAUGCUGGUAAGGUGGAUCCAACGGGUACGAGACCCGGGCCCGUGCGGAGAGUAAUGCGGUCUUCUACCGUCCAUCAGUCGAAGAUGGCUCUCAGAUGAAACAUAGAUAGUUGAAGUAUCUAUGUCGGACGCGUUAGAAUAUGUAGCUUAUAUCAUUAAUGAGAUACAUAUGUGAUAUCUCAUGACCACUGAAUUGUCCCUUCAAAGUUUCUAUAAUCUUCAAUUAUUGUUGUAACUUAUGUGACGGUAUAGUAAUAUACUUGUUAGUAAGUGUUAUUAUCAUAAACGCCGCCACAUAAUUUGGUGGAGGUGCUGGGACCUAUAACCUCUAGGAAGCGAAGCAAAGCAAUUAAAAAAAAAAAAAAAAAAAUGAAAUUGUGUGAGAUGUAUUUUCAUAAGUCUACAAAAAAUUAUUUCGUUCUGGAAUACUAAAUUGCAUUUUUAUUUCCUUUAUGUACCCCUAAUAAAUAAUUAUAAAUUAUUCCGAGUUUUAUUCACUGUUUUGAGCAUUUUAUUUUUGGCUCAAAUUAUUAUUUACGGUUUUUUGUUUAAACGUUUGCGUUUUACGUUACGUUCUAUGGCGCCAUAGACUAUAGGGGGUUGCGUUUUUUUGUUUUACGAGUGCGGUACCACGUACGAUUUUUGUUUAAAAAUCGAUUCAUUUAUUCGGUACAAAAUAUUUUUAUAAAUAUAUUUUACGUUGUGUUAUAUAAUAAACUAAGAUUAAAUAUUAUUUUCGAAUUAAACUUACGUUUACAGUUAUUUUUAAGAAGGUUGAUAAGUGUUGUUUGUUUUAUAAAAGUGUUUCAAUCGGUCUACGAGUGAUCGAUUCUUUUUAUCGAUAAUAAUUUUCGUAAGAACGCUCAUCACUUAGUUACCGCCUUUUUCGUUGUUGAAGUUGAAAAUUUUCUCGUCAAGGCAAAGUAGAAGUGAAAUCUGUUUUAAACGCUUUAAAUAUCAAUUUAAGUGCAUUGCAUUGAUUUUACAAAGUGUUGUUGUAAAGUAACUAGUUAGUGUAACACUUUUCGGCGUGGGGAGUGUGGUGUGAACCCCAAGAAAAUCGCCGUCCAUUUUGCGACGGCGUCAUAGAGGGCCGAACCUUCCCAGAGCCGACCUAUUGUGGAACUCGUAAGGAGUUUAUACAGGAUUUACCGACCCAGGAUAUGACUUGUGAUAAGUAUUUCACACCUAAACUACGUUAAAUGAAAGUUUGAAGACUAUGGAUAAAUUAAUGAAGGAGCGCCUCUCGUUACGAGACGAGCAACUCAAACAACUUUGUGCUGCAGCGACCGACAUCACGAACCGUGCGCAGACAGAAGGCGUGUCUUUAGAAGAACUUACAACAGUAAAAGUUAAACUUAUGACAGCAACCAAAAAGUUUGAAGAAGAUUUCUUCAAGUUAAUAAAAUGCUCCCCGAAUCUCGACAUAAAGGAACAAGAAAGGUGUACACUUAACCAAAUGAAAGCAGAAGACUUAUCUGCCGAAUUGGAGACAAUCUACCAACUAACCUGUCAAAAAAGAACUUGUAAUGAAACCCAAAUAAUGGGAACCAAACUGCCGAAACUGGAACUCAUGAAGUUUAACGGAGAUGUCUUGAAAUGGCAAGAGUUUUGGGACAAGUUCGAGUCUAAUAUCCAUAACCAACCAUUGAAUAAGGCUGACAAGCUCUCCUAUCUUUUCUCAUCUCUUGAAGGUAAGGCCUUAGAUACUCUGAGAGGAAUUGACAUUACAAAUAAUGGUUAUGAUGUGGCUGUAAACAUUCUUAAAGAUAGAUUCGGAGACAAAAGCCUUGUGGUUGAUGCCCAUUAUGAAGCACUGUCAAGACUGCCACAAUCAUCAAAUGACUCCUUACGUUCAACAUUAGAUGCAAUUGUUAAACAUAUACGCAUCCUUGACUCCCUAGGAGAAGACACUAAAGGAAAUAAUCUAAGGAGCUUGAUUUGCUCAAAGUUUCCAAAUAGUAUAAUUUAUGAGCUAAACCUAAUUACACCCAAGAACAGGGAUCUAGAUACCACUGUGAAAGGUUUGGAAAAAAUUAUAAAUGCAAAAGAGAGAUCUGAAUUUAACAAUGUGCUGGAUGUGCCAGACGUGCCAGACUUUAAGGAAUUGGGUCACUCUACAGAAGCUCUUCAUGUGAAACCAGUUCUGAAGAGAAAGCCUAUUCACCAUGGAUACAACAUACACCAUAGCCGGCGUAAACCAGAAUGUGCUUUCUGUAAAGGAGCUCAUUACAGUGAAGACUGUAAGGAGUAUAAAACAUUUUAUGAUCGUCAGAAAGCAUUGAAGUACAAAUGCUAUAGAUGUUUUAAACAUGGACACCCAUUUAGAAAUUGUAGCCUGAGAAUACCAUGUCACCACUGUCAAGGCAAUCAUAACAGAGCCAUGUGCCGUAAGAUACUUCAGCAACAUACAUCAAUGAAGAAAUCUGAAAAAACAAAGACAAUUGAAAACGACGAUAAUGACAAGAGUGAGGAGUAGAGAUGGUGAUAUACCAGCAUAGCUUCUAUUGAUUUGUGAGAGCCAGAGAAGCUAUAUAACAUCAAACUUACUUAUUUAUAAAGAUUUAUUUAAGACAAAUUACUUAUUUAUUAUUUUUGGCCUCAACUCACCAACAGAGAUCAUCAGUCUUUCAGUUGAAAUAACUUUAACCACUAAGAGAGGUACAGAAUGUUGAAUUUCUAUAUUGUAUCACACAUGGAAUCCAGCUGACAGUUUUAUUUGCCAAUGAAAGUACAGAGGUCCCUCCAUGAUAGAGGAUUUGACGGCAUUGCUGUUGAAGUUCAGAAUGGGAAAAUAAAGUUGCAGAUAGAUUUUAUAUUGACAAUCCAGCCUAGCCUGCUGCCUGCCUGCUGUCUGCUGCUGCCUAGCUUAGCCUGGUAACAAGAUGAAGCACUACUUGAACUUUAUAAAGAAACCAUAGAGACAUUCGAUAGUUUAUCAAUAACAAGCGAAAAUAUUUGUGGACUGAUAGUAUGACCAUCCACUCUUAGAUGAAAACCUCAAGACUAUAGUCUUCUUUUCGGUUUGGGACUUGUAAUCAAAAUAAAACAGAAUAAGAACUUCGAUUUACGUUACGUAUCAACUGCCCCACCGCUGUCGCGACAUGUCCUGACAGUGUAAAGUUAAAAAAGGAAUUAUAGUUCUCUGGACCAACAUUUUAUAUGAGAGGUGAAACGGAAUGGCCUAUUCUGUAAUGAUGAAAGUGCACCUUCGUUGGCUGAGGAGGGUCUGAUGAUAUCAGAGGAUCCUGAAAUGGCUGGGAAAGGUUAUGAAGACUAUUUUUUGACAUGCAGCUUCCUGAGCAAAAUACGAAUGAAGUAGAGACAUCUAUGAAAGAAAUAACAGAUAUACAAACAAGUACUUCCCUGAUGAAGUAGCUGGGAAACGAAAAGACUGUCUCAGACAUUUAGUUUGAUUCAUAAAAUGUAUUGGAUACCCCAAGGGAGAGCUCAAGUAGUAAAUCGUAGUGGAGGCCCAUAUGAGUUAUAUGAUGCAACGGUUUCCCAGUAGAGAGAGUUACCUUUAGUGAACAAUUCACAAUUCCAGGAAUGGAUUACUUUGGUCCUAUCAUUCUUGAAGUUUCUAAAAAAAGGAUAAGAGAUAGAUCUGUCUUUUCACUUGCCUAGAUGUAAAAGCAAUCCAUUUACAGGUUGUUAACGAUAUAACCAUAAAAGAAUGUCUAUUCGCCGAGAUACAAUUUGUUGCAUGUUGAGAAAUGUCAUGGUUAUGUCCAAUAAUGAUACACAAUUUAAAUUGAAAUUUUAUGGAAACGUCAGUGUGUGAAGAGCAACAUUAAAUAGAAAUUUAUUCCUCUGUUACCGCCAUAGCACGGUGGCGUCUACGAAAGACUAACUACCUUAAUCGAAAGAGUACAGACAGUAAAAAAAAUGCAUUGACCAAGUACCAAAAGGGCGAGAAACAGCAUUUGAAGUUGAGACUCCUGAAGUUCCCCGUGAUAGUUGUAGAAAGCGAAGUAAAUGGUCUUUACAAGAUCCUGACAUCAACAGGAUGUGGAUAUAGUUGAAGGGAGUUCCCUUUUUCGAGGAAUCUAUCGAAAUGUAUGCAUCUGAGACAGACCAGGUUACUAAUAGAGUAACAGAUGGUAGAGUCAGAGGAGAGACUACCAUCCGCGCACGAGAAAGGUUCGCGGAGUGGAUUCUACAGCUUUUCGUUCUUCUUUUGCCGUCGGGAGUGUCGUGGAGUCCCACGAAUUCUAUGUUGGAGAGCGCGGGACUUUGCGUGUUGGCGCGAAUACGUUAUAAGAGAAGAGAACACGAUAAGAGUACGAAUCGUGAGAGACACCAGGUAAUGGUUGUCUGCCUGCAUGUAAGAUGAUGUGGAGCAAGGUCGGUAAGUCCCUGAUGGCUUAGUUAAGUGAAGUGCGACAAGGCUCUUGAGAUAUCAUGUAUUAUGUUACACGUUGUACAGCAUGAGGUACAAAGUAGUGUCAUUGAAUGUAAUAAUUGUCACAGUGGUUCUGAGCAUUAAGUUACCUCUCACCAAGUUUGACGGGUGCUCUGGGAUCAGCACUAGGGUGAAGUGGACGCACUUACCCAUGAGCUAGGUGGCGUGGAUCGCAACGUCCAGCCAGCCUAGAAGCGAGUUUAGGGGUGGCCACCCAAUCUUGAGUAGGGGGACUAGCAGUACGGGCUCUUCGCCGUACAUGUUCCCCUAGUAAUCCUAUCUGGGCGAGAUUCUGAUGGAUUCGCAUGAGCAGAUAGUGGGUGGUGAGAGGCAGGGAGGUAAAGGCGGGUUGUAGGGGUGUUGAGGAGACCCGAGGGGGCCCAGCCCCAUGUACAUGAGGAGAUGCUCAGUUACUGCCUAACGGGUAAGAGGAUCCAAUGUUGCAAGCCUCACCAGUACAUGGAAGUAGCCAAUGCUGGUAAGGUGGAUCCAACGGGUACGAGACCCGGGCCCGUGCGGAGAGUAAUGCGGUCUUCUACCGUCCAUCAGUCGAAGAUGGCUCUCAGAUGAAACAUAGAUAGUUGAAGUAUCUAUGUCGGACGCGUUAGAAUAUGUAGCUUAUAUCAUUAAUGAGAUACAUAUGUGAUAUCUCAUGACCACUGAAUUGUCCCUUCAAAGUUUCUAUAAUCUUCAAUUAUUGUUGUAACUUAUGUGACGGUAUAGUAAUAUACUUGUUAGUAAGUGUUAUUAUCAUAAACGCCGCCAC
rnacentral:misc_RNA from 1 species